UGUUUCUUUGUAGCAGGAGCUGAGAAGACCCUCUAGCCCACCUGGACCCCAUCUGCACUGCAUCUCCGCCGUGCCCUCCUCUGUUCCAGUGGCCACCGUGUGAUGGUCCAGUUCCCUCUACAUCGUCCCUAAGGUUUCCCAUCCUCCACUUCCACAUGUCUAUCUUUGGGGACGGUGUAGGGGGCCGACUUCCCUUCUGGAUAACCCUUCCCCUCACCAGAGAUGUGUUUGACGGCGUUGGAGCACUAACUUGAACUCUGGUUCCCUGUGCCACUUCUCUCUCAUCAUGAGUCUACACAUAAGGGACAAGCCUGACUCCCCGUCCACGUGGCCAACCCUCCAAAUCUGGGGGGCCAGCACGUGUCUCUUUCAGGCUUCCCUCCUCUAAGCAAAGCAGCCCUCGCAUCUGCAGCUGCUCUUCACCUGAAGAGUCCCCAGUCUUUUCACCAUGCCGGCUGGCCUCCAAACGUGCUCCAGUUUGUCCACGUCCCUCCUCAAGUGUUUCUCGGAGCCCAAGACGCCGUUGGCCUGAGCCGGGCCGGAUCUGCUGCUUUUGGUGCUUGCUGGCAAUCACAUCACACUGCUGCCUUUCGUUGACCCGCAAGCAACUGAAACUCUACAGCAGGUUCUUCCUGAUGUGCGCUCUUGUUGAGCCCUUCUGUACUGGACGGUGGAUAUUUUUGGACCCAAGGAUAUGGUCAUCUGUUUGUCUACCCAAGGCCCUGUCCUAGUCUGUUGGGUUUAUUCAGGAUCCCAAGUCGGUCGUCCAGCUGUCCCUCUGGCUUUGGACCAACAGCCAGUUUGAUCCACAUGCUUUCUAGGGCUUAGUCCAAGUCAUUGAUUAAAAAUGUUGAAUAGAGGGGCUUCCCUGGUGGUGCAGUGGUUAAAAAUCCGCCUGCCAAUGGAGGGGACACGGGUUCAAGCCUUGGACCGGGAAGAUCCCACAUGCUGCGGAGCAACGAAGCCCGUGCGCCACAACUACUGAGCCUGUGCUCUGGAGCCCGCAAGCCACAACUAUUGAGCCCACAUGCCACAACUUCUGAAGCCCACGCACCUAGAGCCUGUGUUCCAUCACAAGAGAAGAUACUGCACUGAGAAGCCCACGCACCACAACAAAGAGUAGCCCCUGCUCUCUGCAACUAGAGAAAGCCCGUGCGCAGCAACGAAGCCCCAACGCAGCCAAUUCAUUAAUUAAUUAAUUUAAAAAAUGUUGACCAGAACCGGACCAAUGAUAUUACCCUGCACUACUCGUGCAAAUCUUUCUGGGGUUCGAGAUCACACAGGGAUGGUCCAGCUGUCGAAUGCAGCCUGUAGAUGUGUUUUGUUUGGCCUGCAUGGUAUUUUCUUUCUUUCUUUUUUAAACUUUGAAUCAGUGGCCAAAAUCUGGAUUUCAGCUUCUCCUGAGAGACUGAAUAUAUUUCAGCAUUGGGUCCACUCUCCAGCAGGGCAGCAGCCAGCUGUGUGGCCCAGGCAGCUGUGGGGGGCUGGGGGGCUGCACCUCCCGCCUGGACGUGUGCGGUAACGACUGCAGCCCCGAGUCAAGACAUGGCCUCUGCGUUCUGCCUCUGUCCCCGUCACCGGCUAUCGUCAGGCGCCCUGCGCAGUCCUACGCAGCGACACCUGUCUGCCUUACUCCCAAAGGCGCCCAGUGAGCUGCCCCCACUCGCCGUGUACCGGCACCCUUUGAGAGUGGUCUGACGACUGGUUAUAAAUUCACCUAAUUGCAUUGGGCCGGCCACACAGCUCGUUCGGUUUUAAGUAAAAAUAGAAGACGUAUUGUUCAUUUUCACCAAGAACUGCAUUGAACAACGUAUUCACUAACCAAAUGAACUUUUCGGCCAACCCAGUGCCAUCUCCCGGGCUACAGAGCCUCCCUCGGAUUUUAUGAGACGUCUUCCCAAAGGCUGGACAAAACCCCGUUUUCAGGGGUUCCUGCACCUCCUUGAUUUACCAGGCUAAGGACAUGAAAUUGAGGUUAGCGUGGCUGAUUCUUCACCAUCAGCGUUUACCUUUCCAACUGCGUACGAAGUGCCCUUUGAGACGUUGUUUUUAGUGCUCUCUAGGACGCAACCCGGAUCUGGUCACGAGUCCACAGAUCACCCAAACAUGCAGCCUCCCUCUCCUCCACGACGACCAGGAAGAAAUCUAGAUGAAGAAGCAGAGGGAGAGGAGGAAGCACAUUCCCUUUCCGGUGGAAGUAUUGGACCAUUAGGUUGAAAACACAGGCGGUGCUACGAGGAAGCCACGUCCAGCAUGGGCUCUGGAGCCCGAGGGCCGAGGUUCAAACCCUGGCUCUGUGGCUCACUGGCCCUGUGUUUCAGCCUCUACACCUGUAAAAUGGAGCUCACAAAAGCACCUGCCACUCAGGGUUGCUGUGAGGAUUCAACGUGAGGUCCAGGUAAGGAGCUCAGAACAGAGGUGGGCGCAGAGUAAAUGCUCAAGAAGUAGAGCGGAUUCAGAGCUGUCUCAAGGCUCCCCAAGCUCCUUCCCAUCCAGGUGAGCUGUGCCUUCUCUCCUGCAGGGUGGUGGCAGCAGGGUCUCUCCCGCCCCCCGCCCAUUCAUCUCUUGCUUGUAGUAAGUCCGACGCUCACGUCCAUCCGCGUGAAGGCGCCGGUACCCUGAGAGCGAAGAACCAUGGUGGCCGCCUCCACGGCCUCGCACGCUCCCCAUCAAAUAUCAGGCUCUUGAGAAAGAAAAACACGUUGUCCCCGAAGAGGAAGGAACAACCGAAACCGGUCUGUGGUUCUCAUUGGAAGAAAUCUAACCCAAGAGUGCUGAACAAGGGAAUGUGCUUCUUUUCCGGGAGACUCUAGGUGGAGAGGCUGGGCUCCCAGCGCAACCCUAUUUUCCUCCUUAUUAUGAAGAGCGGCUUCAUCUCUGCGGAAAGAGGAAAAGACAGGGGAGAACAGAGAGCGGUAGCCUCACUCCCUGGAAAAAGAAAGCAUCCAGAUUUCAAAAUACUCAGACUUAUUUCUCUCUCCAAAGGCAACGUCAGAAACUGUCCACCCCUCCAUCAAAGAGGGGAGCUGUUUGAAGCCACCCCCUCCCCAAGCCUACCUGCUGAUUAUUCGGGAAAAUAUGAUAUUGACAUGACUCUUUAGAAUACAGAGGCUUUGCAGUGUUUGGGUACAACCCUAGGACUAUCUUGCACCCACACAUGAUUAAAAAUUUAGAUGGCUAACUUUGAAACAAUCAAAUGCAUUAGAAGCUUCUUAAUGAGCCGCUGUCUGAACUAAAGCGCAGCAAACUUCAGAAAAGUGCUUCUGUGGAAAUCCCGCUGUCUUUGAUCCGGUAAAGUCACGGCGGGGUGGAUUUAUUUCAAGUUUAUUUUUUGGCAUACUGGUCCUCCCGAAAUAUUGGGAGAUAUCUUUCUUAG